UGGUCAGAACGAACGCUGGCGGCAUGCCUAACACAUGCAAGUCGAACGAGACCUUCGGGUCUAGUGGCGCACGGGUGCGUAACGCGUGGGAAUCUGCCCCUCGGUUGGGAAUAACACAGAGAAAUUUGUGCUAAUACCUUAUAAGUGUCUUCGGACCAAAGAUUUAUCGCCGAGGGAUGAGCCCGCGUAGGAUUAGGUAGUUGGUGGGGUAAUGGCCUACCAAGCCGACGAUCCUUAGCUGGUCUGAGAGGAUGAUCAGCCACACUGGGACUGAGACACGGCCCAGACUCCUACGGGAGGCAGCAGUGGGGAAUAUUGGACAAUGGGCGAAAGCCUGAUCCAAGCAAUGCCGCGUGAGUGAUGAAGGCCUUAGGGUUGUAAAGCUCUUUUACCCGGGAUGAUAAUGACAGUACCGGGAGAAUAAGCUCCGGCUAACUCCGUGCCAGCCGCAGC
rnacentral:rRNA from 1 species